GAUGAACGCUAGCGGCAGGCUUAAUACAUGCAAGUCGAGGGACAGCACAGGUAGCAAUACUGGGUGGUAACCGGCAAACGGGUGCGGAACACGUACACAACCUUCCUUUAAGUGGGGGAUAGCCCAGAGAAAUUUGGAUUAAUACCCCGUAAUAUAGUUGAAUGGCAUCAUUUGAUUAUUAUAGCUACGGCGCUUAAUGAUGGGUGUGCGGCUGAUUAGAUAGUUGGCGGGGUAACGGCCCACCAAGUCUACGAUCAGUAGCUGAAGUGAGAGCAUGAUCAGCCACACGGGAACUGGGACACGGGCCCGACUCCUACGGGAGGCAGCAGUAAGGAAUAUUGGUCAAUGGACGCAAGUCUGAACCAGCCAUGCCGCGUGAAGGAUUAAGGUCCUCUGGAUUGUAAACUUCUUUUAUUUGGGACGAAAAAGGGCCUUUCUAGGUCAACUGACGGUACCAGAUGAAUAAGCACCGGCUAACUCCGUGCCAGCCGCCGCCGUAAUAC
rnacentral:rRNA from 1 species